ACUCCUACGGGAGGCAGCAGUGGGGAAUAUUGGACAAUGGGCGAAAGCCUGAUCCAGCCAUGCCGCGUGUGUGAAGAAGGUCUUCGGAUUGUAAAGCACUUUAAGUUGGGAGGAAGGGCAGUAAGUUAAUACCUUGCUGUUUUGACGUUACCGACAGAAUAAGCACCGGCUAACUCCGUGCCAGCAGCCGCGGUAAUACGGAGGGUGCAAGCGUUACUCGGAAUCACUGGGCGUAAAGCGCGCG
rnacentral:rRNA from 1 species